GAUGAACGCUAGCUACAGGCUUAACACAUGCAAGUCGCGGGGCAGCAUGGGGGUUGCUUGCAAUCCCCGAUGGCGACCGGCGCACGGGUGAGUAACGCGUAUCCAACCUGCCCUUCACCACGGGAUAACCCGGCGAAAGUCGGACUAAUACCGUAUGUUGUCCAUUGACGGCCUCCGAUUUUGACGAAAGGUUUGGCGGUGAAGGAUGGGGAUGCGUCCGAUUAGCUGGACGGCGGGGUGACGGCCCACCGUGGCGACGAUCGGUAGGGGUUCUGAGAGGAAGGUCCCCCACACUGGAACUGAGACACGGUCCAGACGCCUACGGGAGGCAGCAGUGAGGAAUAUUGGUCAAUGGGCGUAAGCCUGAACCAGCCAAGUAGCGUGCAGGAUGACGGCCCUAUGGGUUGUAAACUGCUUUUAUGCGGGGAUAAAGUGGCCCACGUGUGGGUUUUUGCAGGUACCGCAUGAAUAAGGACCGGCUAAUUCCGUG
rnacentral:rRNA from 1 species